ensembl:lncRNA
GUUUAGUCUAUGUUAAAUUGAUUUUAAGAUUAAAGUACAUAGAAGUGUCUUAGAAGAGUUUCUUUUUAUUUUAAUCAAGUAGCUCACAAUUAGGAAUUUUAAGAAAGGAAAUAGAUUAAGAUUUUUAAAAAGUUAGAAGGAGGUUAAAAAUUACUUUUUUAAGGGAUGAUUACCUAAUGUACAUUUUCAUUUCAUCACAUUCAAAACUUCAUUUUACUAUUUACCUCUUGAAGAUGUUCUCAUGGACCUGUUACCACCCUCUUAAGACUAAUCCUGUGAUAUUUCCCCAGAACAGAGCUGUAUCUAUUGUCCUUUCAUCACACUUAACAACAGAGAUGUAUUCAAGGAUUCUGCAAGAUGCUGUAAAAUUCCUUAUCAGGAAUAUGGUUGCCAUUCUAAUAUUUAAUAUGGAGAGAUAUGCAAAUCCUUCAAUAUUAGCAUGUGAACAAAAUGCUACACUUAAGGAAAAUGAAGGAAUGAAAGAUCCUUGCCUCACAUUCAAUUUUUAAAUGUAUACAAAUGGGCAUACAAAUGUCUAAAAGCCUGAGAAGAGCCAGCUAACUAACAAAUUGAAAUAAUGUGGUAUCAGAAGUUGAGAGUGUUUUAUGAUAUUUUAUGAAAAAGCCAUUUGUAUUUUUCUUUCUUUUUUAAAAGAAAGGCAUAAGUGAUAGAGAGAUGGAGAAAUGGAGAGACCAAGAUCUUCCACCUUCUGGUUCAUUCCCAAGUAGCCAAAGCAGCCAAGUCUGGGCCAGAUAGAAGCCAAUAGUCAAUCAAACCAAUUUGAGUCUUCUGCAAUUAUGACAGGAUAAAUCCUUGGGCCAUGAUUUGCUGCAUUUCCAUACAAAUUAACAGGAAGCUGCCUGAGAAGUGGAGAAUCUGGGACUUGAACUGACAUUCCAAUAUGUGAUGCCUGUGUCACAAGCAGUGGCUUCACACACUGACAGUGCCACCCUGCAGUUUACAUUUUCCCUGAUGUUUCUCAUUGAAAUCAUGUAAAAGCAAGAGUAUUCAGAAAGUGUGUAUAUGUUUAUGCAAACUGAAAAUUAAAUUAUUCUGUUCUAAGAUCUAAAAUGUAUUUUAUUUAUUUGAAAGCUAGAAAUGAGAAAGAGAGAGAGAGAGAGAAUCUUCCAUCUUCCAGUUUGUUCCCCAAAUGUCUGAAAAGGCCAAGAGUGGGAAAGGCCAAAGCCAGGGACAAAGAACUCCAUCAGAUCUCCCAUGUUAGAAGCAAGUACCUAAGUACUUGAACCAUCAUCUGGUGCCUCCUGUGGUAUAGAUUAGUAGGAAGCUGAAUCUGAAGUGGAAUUGGGAUUCAGUCUCAGGCACUCGGUUAUGAGAUGUGGGGAUUCCAAGAGGCAGCUUAACCCUUUGCGACAGAAGACUCAGAACAUGAAUACUAAAUUCAUACAGGACUAUAGAAGACCUAGAACGGUUAGGGCAAUAUUAGAGAAGAAAAGCAAACCCAAGCUAAGCCAAAGAUCUCUGCUGCUGUAUAUCAGACUUUAUUAUAAAGCUUCUGUGUUUUGCUGAAAAACAAAUAGACCAGUAGAAUGGAAUAAAGUUCAGAGAAAGAUUUGAACA